rnacentral:lncRNA from 1 species
UUUCUUCCCUUUUUCUUCUUUUCUUCUCCUCUUUCUUCUUUUCUUCUCCUUUUUCUUCUUUUCUUCUCCUUUUUCUUCUUUUCUUCUACUUUUUCUUCCUUUCUUCUCCUUUUUCUUCCUUUCUUCUCCUUUUUCUUCCUUUCUUCCCUUUUUCUUCCUUUCUUCCCUUUUUCUUCUUUUCUUCUCCUUUUUCUUCCUUUCUUCUCCUUUUUCUUCCUUCC